rnacentral:rRNA from 1 species
ACGGGAGGCAGCAGUGGGGAAUAUUGCACAAUGGGGGAAACCCUGAUGCAGCGACGCCGCGUGAGUGAAGAAGUAUUUCGGUAUGUAAAGCUCUAUCAGCAGGGAAGAAAAUGACGGUACCUGACUAAGAAGCCCCGGCUAACUACGUGCCAGCAGCCGCGGUAAUACGUAGGGGGCAAGCGUUAUCCGGAUUUACUGGGUGUAAAGGGAGCGUAGGUGGCCAUGCAAGUCAGAUGUGAAAACCCGGGGCUCAACCCCGUGACUGCAUUUGAAACUGCGUGGCUGGAGUACAGGAGAGGUAAGCGGAAUUCCUAGUGGAGCGGUGAAAUGCGUAGAUAUUAGGAGGAACACCAGUGGCGAAAGCGGCUUACUGGACUGAAACUGACACUGAGGCUCGAAAGCGUGGGGAGCAAACAGGAUUAGAUACCCUGGUA